UUCGUUUUCCUAAAGUCACCAAUCAUCUUCCUACAACUCACUAACACAAAAUCCCUCACCUUCAUUCUCACGUUCUCUCUCAACUUCCUUUAAUCACCCACAUCAAAACUUUUCUCUUCCUCUUCUUACCUAAACAUUUAAGCUCUCUCCCUUUUUACACCAACACACUUAAAAAAGUCUUCUUCUCAUUCAAGCAAAAGUCAAGUUUCAAUCAUCCAUAUUCUGUUUCUGCAUUUUGAAUCAUAAGCAUGCAUGAUGAAAUUGAUACACAAUCCACCUAUCAAAUUUGUUGAGCAAAAUUUAUGCUAGAUAUGGCACCAUGCAAGCAAGUUAAAGAAGUUGCUUUCAAGAAAAGGAAGACGAAAGAUACUCCCCCAAGGUUAAAUGAAGAAAUAUUAUGUCAACUAGAAAAAAGGCAGCUACUUUUCGAAAGGAUAGUGUCGUUAGAAAUAGGCGACUACAUUAUUUUCCGAAAUGAGAUUGAGAGAAGAGGAUGAGAAGUUUUAGAAUAACCUUCAGAAAAUAUCAAUGCGGAUAUUGGUAAAGAAUUCUAUGUCAAUGACUACCCUUUUAAGGAUCAACCAGAACCCGAAUCUCUUGGGUCAGAGGUAUCGAGAUACCAUCAAUGCCUAUCUGGGAAACAUGUGAGUCAUAUAUGCUCUCGUGAGUAGAUCCAUGGAUGCAACAUCAAGUGCAGCAACAACAAUAAUGGAUGGAGAUGUUUCUCGAGUUUUUCGUGGUCUUGAAUUUCCUUCUCCUACACCCUUUACCACACACAAAUAUGUGGAUGAAGCUUUCGUUGAUCUUAGGUUUGAGUUUUGCAUGAUAGAGUGGUGGUAUGGUAACACCUUGUUCAGCGCAUAAACCAAUGAUUAAUGUUGGGAAGGCUAGAGGUCGCACAUUUGGUUUAUCCUUGGAAAUAUUGUGGAUUUGACUAGAAAGAAUUUUGGUUAUAUCCAUUCCUCUCCCUGUAAUUAUGUGCCAUAUCAGGUAAGCCACAUCUAUAAGCGUUAGAGGUGUGACUUUUAGGUAUGAUGUUAUCUAGAAUCAGCAAAGAGAGAGAACACACAAAAUUGAGAGAAAACCAUUGGAGAAAGCUUGGAAAUCAUUAUUGAAGACCAAUUUCUCUUCUUUUCAUCUUGAUCUUGUAAAACUACCAUGACAAUGAGUAGCUAAACCUCUCUUUGUUGGAAUUAUAUAUAAUCAAUCAUACUCUUUAAUGUCUCUUUUGAUUUAUAAUUAUAUAUUCUAGUUACUCA